rnacentral:misc_RNA from 1 species
UCUCCGCUUGCGCGGGCAGUCUUUUUAGAGUCCCCAGCUUGACCUGUUGGCAACUAAAAAUAAGGGUUGCGCUCGUUGCGGGACUUAAGGCAACACCUCACGGCACGAGCUGACGACAGCCGUGCAGCACCUGUGCGGGCUCCCGAAGGAGCACCGUGUCUCCACGGUUUCACCCCGCAUGUCAAGCCCUGGUAAGGUUCUUCGCGUUGCGUCGAAUUAAGCCACAUGCUCCACCGCUUGUGCGGGUCCCCGUCAAUUCCUUUGAGUUUCAACCUUGCGACCGUACUCCCCAGGCGGGGCACUUAAUGCGUUAGCUACGGCACAGGCGGGAUUAAUACCGCCCACACCUAGUGCCCAUCGUUUAGGGCGUGGACUAC